rnacentral:rRNA from 1 species
CCUACGGGAGGCAGCAGUGGGGAAUAUUGGGCAAUGGAGGAAACUCUGACCCAGCGACGCCGCGUGCGGGAUGAAGGCCUUCGGGUUGUAAACCGCUUUCAGUAGGGAAGAAGCGAAAGUGACGGUACCUACAAAAGAAGCACCGGCUAACUAUGUGCCAGCAGCCGCGGUAAUACAUAGGGUGCAAGCGUUGUCCGGAAUUAUUGGGCGUAAAGAGCUCGUAGGUCGUUUGUUACGUCGGAUGUGAAAACCUGAGGCUCAACCUCAGGCCUGCAUUCGAUACGGGCAAACUAGAGUUUGGUAGGGGAGACUGAAAUUCCUGGUGUAGCGGUGGAAUGCGCAGAUAUCAGGAGGAACACCAAUGGCGAAGGCAGGUCUCUGGGCCAAUACUGACACUGAGGAGCGAAAGUCUGGGGAGCGAACAGGAUUAGGAUACCCUGGUAGUCCAGACCGUAAACGGUGGGCACUAGUUGUGGGAACCUUCCACGGUUUCUGCGACGCNGACUACGCAUAGUGCCCGCCGUCGGGAGGUACGAGUCGCGAGAAGUUAAACGUACGAAAGGAAAGUUAGUAACGGUCGUGUUAGACGUGCCGAACGGACGACGACGAGGGAGGAGG